CAGUGUGAUGACUCACCAGCCUUACUUCCUGCUGUGGAGUGCUUUCUCCUGCUCAGCAAGGCUCAGUGCUGAAUUUCCUGUGACAUUUGCAUGCAUUGAACCAAAGAGUACAUCUUACCUGGCCAGUUGGUACUAUCACAGGGUUCCAAGUGAGGUAGCUGAACCUUCACUAGGAACAAAGUGAGCUCACAACCGAAUACUGACAAGCAGGGGGACUAGAGUCUGACUUUCCUCCCAUUGCUGGGGGUACAAUACCUGAACUCAGGAUGACAGCAAUGGACAUUUGAGAUUUUUUUUUUUUUUAAUUUAAGCAAAGUUUCACUGUGUUGCUACUGGCCUUGAGCUCAUGAUUCUCCUGCUUCUGGUUGCUGAGUGCUUCGAUUGCAGGGGAUUAGUCAGGGUUUCUAGUGCCUCAAUGAAACACCAUGACUAAAAGAAACUUGGAGAGGAAAAGGUUUAUUUGGCUUAUGCUUCUGUAACACAGUUCACCAUGGAAGGAAGUCAGGACAGGAACUCAAACAAGGUAGGGAUCCUGCAGUCACAUUCCAUGUUGGCUAACUUUUGAGGAUGUUGGAAGAUGAUGAAGGUGACCUCAUAGUCCCAUACUGUUCACAAGGGGAACAAAUCAUCCCAGAAGGAUGCAGAGCCUGGAUAUCUACUAUUCUGAAGUCAAAUCUUGUUUCUAAAAUGCUAGACCUAUGGUAGAUGCUGGAAGAAGAAGUUAUAACACAAGUCCUGCCAUAAGGAAGCGUUGUCUUCAGAUAUGAGAUAGGAUCACUCAGGAUCUAAAGGCAUAAUUGCAUCAAAAGGCAUAAUUGCAAUUCUGAGUCUCUUCUGGACUGUGAAGGAGACCUUCUAGAAAGUUGUGUCUGCUGAGACUGAUUGACUGAUUAGAAUUUCAGUGCUAUGGAGAGAUUUGAAUGUUACAGGUCCAGAGGCUAAUUACCUUAUCUUCGGUUAACUUUACCUGCACACCUCAACAGCUAUUCCUUGUGUGCCUCUGUGUCAGAACCAGCAUCCUGUGACUAAUAGAUAAAAGCCUUUGGAAACUAUUAAUUUAACAGACCUUCUACCAAGCCCAAAGAUAACAGUGUUAACAGAUAACAUCUUUGGUCUAUAAAAUAAGUUUCCUCAACCUUGCUGUAACCACCUCUCAGAUAUGCCCACCAAUGUAUUUUAAGCCUGUCCUGAUUUAUGACUUUCAACUUUCUGUAAAACUAUAAAACUUCAUGUAACUGCUUCUAGUUCAAACAUGGACUUUGAGGUAUCUUAAUCUGUGUUUCUGGUCAUUCAGAAUGGAUCCAGAAUGAACUAGCUUUUAUUCUUCUUAAGAAGGAAAAUUGUUUUUUGAGUUGACACAAUCAAAGCCAAAUUUUUAAAUAAAUUAAAAAUUAUUUUUAAAUGUAAGAAUUGAUUAUUGAUAUUAGCUCCCCUAGUUAAGCAAAAGCUAUUGACAUAGUAUGUUAACAAGUAUGCAUGUCUGUCCUCUGACUUGUGAAGGAAUUCAAAUAUGUUUUGGUGAAGUUUAGUAAUAGUGGGGGACUAUGGCUAUCAUAGUAUGGGGCCUCCUCAAUAACAAGACAGAAACUAAGAAACUUCUAUCUCUUUAAAAUAGAAUGGACCAUUUUGCCUCCAGAGGAUGUAAAUUGAACAUGUCUUUGUGUUUUCACUUAGAAUUUUAUUUCUGUUCUCACACCCCACCCUCCUUUACAUGAAUAUUAAGGUCCAAGGCUUUAGCAACAGGCAUUUGGUCCUGGGGGAAGAAAGGGUAAAGGGAAGAGUGUUGUGUAUGGCUUUUCAUAUGUUAAUGGUUGAUUCCAUGGCAACCAUUGAAAAAAAGAAGGGCUAGGGACAAAAGGGGCUGCAGGAGAGAGGAUGGGGCUCUUUCAGGGGCUAGUAAGAAUAACAGCCCAGACCCUCUCCUCUGAAAGAUAUCUGAUGGCCAGACCUCAAAGGACUUUGUCUUAAUAGUGCAGAGUCAGUAUGUAAUUAAUGCAGAGUUUUAUGAGUCCAAAUUUCACCCUCAAUGAUGUUUCCCCUUUAAAACGUGGAGAAUAAGAAUCUGAAACCAAGAGGAUGUUUCAAAUCACUGCUCCCAUUGGGACCCACAACGGAGUCUAUCCAGAGGACACACUAGACUAUCGGCUCUAAGCAUCAGACAUUUCAGUUUUGAGUUAAAAGGUCAAGGGCUUUUAUCUUUGAGUACAAGAAAGCUUUUAAAGCUGGCUGACUAAGAGCAAGCACAGUGGGAAUGGCUGUGCUCUCUCUCACAUGCAUCCUUUGAACACUGUCGUCCCUGAUGACAUGUUGAAAUGGUACAGGACACAGACAAGAGCAGGUCACAGGACACAGAGGACACUGGUGACAUUCCAUUCCUUGGCUUCCUUGACCAAUGAAAAGAAUUCCUGGCUGCCUAUAUAUCCUCCCAGAAACAUGGUGACAUCCUCACAUCAGAUUCCCUAGUGCGCUAAAUCUUCAUGUGAACUUCAGUGGUUAUACAUAUGAAAUAGCUGUUGUAUCUUGCCAGCACAACACACUCUUUCUAGCCCUUUCUCAAGUACUGCAAAGCAUUACAUUCAGUAACAAUGCCAACUUUACCAACUUUCUAUCCAGCCUUGUUUUCUUGCAUGUGUAUUCCUCAGUCUUUGAUUGAAUUAUAUUGAAUUCCUCUCUCUCUCUCUCUCUUUUUGUCUCCUUUAAAUAGUUGCCAGAGACCAGCCACCAGUAGCUGCGAUACAGUGUUUUCUCUGUUUCGAUAGACACAAGGGCUUUUUAUCACAAUGGAAUGCUUAUGGAAUUGCAUGUUUCAAAAGACACUAAACAUGAAAAUACAACUUCAUUCAAAGUCAGGUUACAAUUAUGAAUAGCAAGGCUACAAUGAAGAGAGAGAGAAAGAAGUGCUGGUCUGUCUUUCUUUCAGUGGUUAUAAAAUGUAAUUCAUUUUUUUCCCUCAUAAGCCUUAUGAACCUUACUCCCGCUUUUAUGUUAUUCAAAACUCUGAUGGGGUGGAAAGCACAGAGUUAUUGUAGCUACCAGGAAUCCCAAUAUGAGGUCUGACAAUAUUGUUACCAACAUUAUAUUAUAAAGAGACAGUUUCUUCAAAAUGAUCUUAUUUUUGAAUGCCUGUUUGCUUGAUGUUUGCUGAGUAAUAUGUGACAUCUGAUAUUUUGGCAACAACACUGAAUAAUUAAUCUAUUCAUCAAAAUUUUUAAAAGUGUUUUUAUAGACUAGGACUUGGUCAUAUUUGAUCAGUACAUGCUAUGACUGGUUGUCAUGGAAAUGUAGCCUAGUAUAUAUGGAUAAUUGUGUAAAUAAAGAAUCAUCCCUAAGAACUCUACCACUGCAAAUGCAUCUAUGAGAGAGAAAAGGGGAAGAGACAGGCUAACCCAAUUCCACUACGAAGGAGGAGCCUGUUUUUCAGCCUGAGU
rnacentral:lncRNA from 1 species